AUUGAACGCUGGCGGCAGGCCUAACACAUGCAAGUCGAACGAGUGGCGGACGGGUGAGUAAUGUCUCGGAACGUCCCUAGUGUAGGGGGAUAACUGUUCGAAAGGAUAGCUAAUACCGCAUAUUAUUCGAUCGGCCGCUGUGGGAUUAGCUAGUUGGGGGGGUAAAGGCCCACCAAGGCGACGAUCCGUAGCGGGUCUGAGAGGAUGAUCAGCCACACUGGAACUGAGACACGGCCCAGACUCCUACGGGAGGCAGCAGUGGGGAAUAUUGCACAAUGGGCGCAAGCCUGAUGCAGCCAUGCCGCGUGUGUGAAGAAGGCCUUCGGGUUGUAAAGGACGUUUGUCAAGGAAGCGGUACCUGAAGAAGAAGCACCGGCUAACUACGUGCCAGCAGCCGCGGUAAUAC
rnacentral:rRNA from 1 species